rnacentral:rRNA from 1 species
CAACGUGUCGCGAUGGAUGACUUGGCUUCCUAUUUCGUUGAAGAACGCAGCAAAGUGCGAUAAGUGGUAUCAAUUGCAGAACCAUCCAAUUACCGAAUCUUUGAACGCAAACGGCGCAUGGGAGAAGCCCUCUGCGGGUGACCCCCGUGCAUGCCACAUCCUCAGUGUCGAAC